CAGCAGAGCAGUGAGGUCUCCAGGUUUUGAUGGCUUCAGAUCACAGUCUCAGGUGAGCGUGAGAUAUUUCAGAGAGAUCUCUGCCAAACUCCAGCGCUUUGAAGGCAGCUGGUGGAGCAACCUCCAGAGAUGGGGAGAAGGAGCAGGGCUGGCUGGGUGUCUUCACAAGGGAACAGAAUCAAAGCCAGAAGAGACGGCAGCACGAGCUGAUCCAACUCGGUCCAACAGGGGUUCCUCCCUCCCUUUUUUUACCAAGUCCAGCCCCGUGGCCCUUCCCGCUUUGAAACCAGUGAAACCUUUGCUAAGCUUCAGAUUAUGUUCCUGGGUUGCCAGUGGAGAUGGCCUGCAGCAAAGCCCUGGGUUUUAUCUUUAAUUACCAGCGGGAAUUUUACAUUCUUGCAGAAGCCGAGCUGAGAAAAAAGCCAGCAUCUGUCCCUGCUGCGGAGCUGAGCAUCUGCUCAGGGGAAGGCUGGCAAUAGGAAGAGAGGGGUCAGCAGAAGAUGAUCUUCUCAGCCCUCCUGUAUAGACUGCGUCUCUGAUGUGUUUGCUUAGCCAGAAGCAAAUCCCUUUCACAAACUCAUGGCACUGCCGAGGAAAAGUAGGCACAGAAAAUUAACGAAGCGGGAGCAUCAAUUCCUUGUCUAUCACCAGUAAGAGUCUCCCGAGGACUACAUAGGUGGAGGAAAACAUUCUCUCUCCAAUGCCCAGGGAGACAAGGCUGUGCUUCCAGCAGCGCUAUCCAACUCCCUGCCGAGUGUUUUCAUCCCCUGCAUGUUGUCCUGUGCUGGAAGUGGUGCACGGGUUGGUGUACUGGCACGUGUAGGAAGGGGCAGGAAGGCAGAGCAGCACGAGCUGAGCUGGUCACGGUACAACGGGCUGGGGCAGGGCAGUGUAUUUGGAGCUUAUUUCCUAACCAUUUGUUUUUCUUGCUGUUCUUGACAAACAAUGCACGGGUCUACGUGUGUUCCUCAGGUUCGAGGUCACCUUGCGUUCAGCUGAGCACAACAAAACCUCAGAGGAAUGGGGCGCAGCAAAAGAGCUGGGUGGCUUUGAGCCUGAAGGAGCAACGGGCCUGGAAAUAUCACAGCUCCUAGAGGUUAGAGAGCCCUACAUCUGCUGCCUUUGCAGGUGGCUUCCUAAGAUACCCUGCUCCUGCAGUGCAGAGGUCUGGGGAUCCCCUCCGAGCUGACGGUGACAGCUAAGGAGGGGUGAGAGCCUGUGCAAAGCCAUUCCCACCCUGGCCAGCCUGGCCAAUUAAAAAAUAAAGGCAGAGGCGCUUGGUCCGGG